rnacentral:rRNA from 1 species
UGAGUUUAUAUAUUGUAUGUAAAGGAGAUUUGGUUAGUAGGUUAGGUGAAAAUUGUUUGUUUUCUUUAUAGGGGAGUACUGUUGAGGAAUUUUUUAAUUUGUAGGAAUAAUAGGUUGUUUAGUACCUUUUGUAUUAGGGUUGAUUAAUGUUAGUUGGCUUUGGGUUUUUCUCGAUAAACAUCGAGCUAAUGUGUCUUAGUGUUAAUUCGUUGUAUAGAAUUUAGUAGGGUAUUUUAGUUAUGAAAUAUUAUUCAAGUUGUUUUGUAUCUAGUUCUUUAAGAAAAUUAAUUGUGGAUAUUGUUAUUUGAUCGUUAAGUAGGGAUUAGCUUAUUUAUUUUUUAUAUUUGGGUUAUUUAUUUUAUUAUUAGUUAAGUUGAUGGUGCUUGUUUUUAUGGAGUUAUUAUUGAAUAAUUUAUUUUGGUUUAUUUUAUUAGUUUGUGUUAAAAUUAGAGCUCUUUUUUGAAUUGUUAAUAAUUGGUGAUAAUGAUUAGAUUAGUAAUAGUUUGUUUAAUGGUGUAAGAUUUAUUUUUAAUUUAUUUUGAGUAGUGUUAGAGAUUAUAAUUGAUUAACUAGGCAAAAAUUGGUUUCUGACUGUUUAGCAAAGACAUUGUUUUUUGUUGAGAUAAAAAAUAAUUUCUGUCCACUGCUAUUGAGUGAAGGGCUGCGGUAAGUUGACUGUAUGAAGGUAGCAUAAUCAUUAGUUUUUUGAUUGAAAGCUGGUAUGAAGGUGAAACGGGGAUUUGCUGUGUUUAUUUUAUGAUAUGAAUUUUAUUUUUAUGUGAAAAAUCGUAAUUGAGUUUAUGGGACAAGAAGACCCUAAUAAGUUUUAUUUCUAUUUUUAAUGCGUGUGUAGGUUAAGAAUUUAUAUAAUUUAAUUGUAGGAGUUUGGUUGGGGCGACAAUUUUUAAACGUAAAUUAUUAUUUAAUUUUGUUUAUGACGAUUAUAAGACCUGGGUUGUUUAGGUGAGAGUAAAAUUACUAUAGGGAUAACAGCGUUAUUUUAUUUGAGAGUUCUUAUUGACAAUAGA